rnacentral:rRNA from 1 species
AGUGAACGCUGGCGGUAGGCCUAACACAUGCAAGUCGAACGGCAGCACAGGAGAGCUUGCUCUCUAGGUGGCGAGUGGCGGACGGGUGAGGAAUACAUCGGAAUCUGCCCAGUCGUGGGGGAUAACGUAGGGAAACUUACGCUAAUACCGCAUACGACCUUCGGGUGAAAGAGGGGGAUCGCAAGACCUCUCGCGAUUGGAUGAGCCGAUGUCGGAUUAGCUAGUUAGCGGGGUAAUGGCCCACCAAGGCGACGAUCCGCAGCUGGUCUGAGAGGAUGAUCAGCCACACUGGAACUGAGACACGGUCCAGACUCCUACGGGAGGCAGCAGUGGGGAAUAUUGGACAAAGGGCGCAAGCCUGAUCCAGCCAUACCGCGUGGGUGAAGAAGGCCUUCGGGUUGUAAAGCCCUUUUGUUGGGAAAGAAAUCUUUCAGGCUAAUACCCUGGGAGGAUGACGGUACCAAAAGAAUAAGCACCGGCUAACUUCGUG